AAAUAAUAAAUUUCCAAGUCAUUACCAAUACCAUCGGAUUUCCAUUUCUAUAUUUGAUGACGACGCUCCCAUAAUCUCUCUUCAUUAAAAAUCUAGGGUUUUUUUUCGCCACGGACUAUCCCUAGAUCCCAGUUUCAUUUGAUAAAGCCCUCUAAUUGAUUCAAUUUUCGGUGUGCUUUAGGGUUUUGAUUUUGAGUAAUAUUCUAAUUUUGGCUUGCGGAAAUUUCGGGUUAUUCGUUACGGUAUAUUUUUUUUCCCUUAAUUGGUCGAAUUGGGAGUUUGCUUCGCGAGCAAGUUUUGGUUUUGGUUUUGAUUGUGAGAUUUGGGGCUUGUUGAUUUUUAGGUAAUUGGCGUGUUGGGAUUUAGGGUUUUUGUUAUUGGCAUUGGUUUGUUGGGGUUUUGAAUUGAAGGAUUGGGGAUUUAGGGUUUUUGUUGUUGGGAGAUGGCGACAGUUGGUGGUGCGGAAGAGGUUGAGUAUGACAGUGAUCCAGAGGAGGCGAAGCGAUCCCUUGCGAUGCGGAGGAGGGAAGCGAGCGAUGAUGAGGAAGGAGAGGGAGAGGGUAGUAGUGAAAAGUUGAGGGUUGAUCGUAGGGCUGUUAUUCAUUCUGAUGAAUCCGAUGGGCAGGGUGGGGCAGCCGAGUAUGAUGACGAUGAUGAUGAAGAAGAAUUGGGCUUGGUAGAUGAUGAAGAGGAUGAGGGUGGUGAGAUUGACGAAGAGGAAGAAUUUGAUGAAGAAGAGGUUUAUGAAGCGAGUUCCCAUGAGCGUGAUGGCAGGGUUCCGGCUUCGAUAUCUGCAAUUCCAAAGGAACAUGUUGGUGAUGUUAGGAGGCCUGUGGAAGAAUCAGAAGACGCCCAAUUGGGGAGUCAGGCCGAGGGAGAGGUGGAGGGGGAGGGAGAGGAGGAGAAGAAAGAGAACGAACCUUUUGCUGUGCCUACGGCAGGAGCUUUUUACAUGCAUGAUGACAGGUUUAGGGACAAUAACGGUGGCCGACACAGGCGAACUCAAGGGGGGAGGAAGUUGUGGGAGUCCAAGGAUGAGAGAAAGUGGGGCCAUGACAAGUUUGAAGAGAUAACUUUCCAGGACAGGCAUUAUCAGGAGGGAAGGAGAUCAUCUAGGAGCAAUUAUAGAGGCCGGGGUCGAAAUUCAAAUCGUGGUGUUGACCGUAGUGUUGACCAUGGGUAUGGUAGAGGGAACAGACCUAAAGCAUACAACAACAGUACUAAUCAGGGCCAUGUACCGAAAGGUGUGAGGGGAAAGGGGCUCAGGAAGUAUGAACCUGCUACAAGGAACAACAGUCAGUCACCAUCAAUGUCAAACAAACAAUCUGGGAGGCCUUUUGAGAAACCUUCAAAUUCUAAUUCAGCCAGAGCUUUCACCCCUGCAUCUAAUGCUGAAUUUGAUCAGGUUGCGUCUAGGAAAAAUGUCUUCGCAUCGAGCUUGAAUUCAGCUUCCCCUCCUUUUUACCCUUCAGGAUCCUCCAAUAAAGAGAUCAACCUUACACAGAAAAGGGAUGUUCAAACUGGAAAUACCAACAGGAAUCUUCGCCCAUCCAGUGUGGACAGUGCUGUGCUCCGAGGAAAGAAUAUACCUGAGUCUGUCGGCAUGGACAAACUCAACAUUGAUGAUUCGUCCAGUUCAGUUGCUGGGAAGACAGUGAGUAAUAUUAGUACGCAAAUGUCACCUUCAGGAGCGGUGUUGCCUAAUACUGUUAAUACUGCUCAUUCUUCUCAGUCAAGGAUUCACGGUAGGGCUGUCAUUCCUGGACAGAUGGCUUAUCAACCAAGUCCUCAUAACCAGGCCAUAAGAGGUUCCUUAUCAGCACAACCACAUGCUGCUCAGCGAAGUCCAGUUCAAGGUCGAGGACAAACUUUUGUGCAAGUUUCUGCACAGCAAGUAGGACAGCGUCCUGGUAGUGGUUCUCAAUCUUCCUCUCCACCAAACACAGCUCUGUCGGUAAAUUCCUUUGAAACUGGUGAAGUGGUUUCAUCUUCAGAGGUAAAUAAAUCUAAAACAGCUCUGGUUGCUAAGGGAAAAGGUGUUAUUCAAGGUAAUGGAAGGGGCUCUGUUAUGUAUGGUGGGGCCCAGGUCAUUGGGGCCACGGGUAGCAUGGGUGUAAGUCAUGGAGAUCAGAACUUCCCUGGUGCUCCGACCUUUCUUCCAGUCAUGCAAUUUGGAGGUCAGCAUCCUGGUGGUAUUGGGGUUCCUGCUGUAGGGAUGGCAUUUCCUGGAUAUGUUGCUCAGCCACAGGGUCUUGGUCUUGGAAAUUCUGAGAUGACAUGGUUACCAGUUCUGGCCGGUGCUGCAGGAGCCUACUGUUCACCGUAUCUUGCUGUUGAUGGUUCUUACCAUGCUCGCCCAUCUGGACAGUCAUCUUCUGGAGGUGCUGCAAGCAAAGAAGAUAUUGCAAACAAAACCAGUAAUGAAUGGAAGUCUCCACAAAAGCCUGACUCAGUGAAUGAUGAAUUUGGACAGCGUCAAAAUAAGCCUCGCAGAUAUUCAGAGAUGAACUUUGGUCAAUGAAGUACUUAAAUAGGGUGAAGCUUGUUUGAAUAAGCAGAUAAAAGUUUUGCUUGAAUAAAACUGUCUUUACUUUGGGCAUCGGAAACUUCUGAGUUGUGAGAAACUGGUAUCUCAUGCCUUCCUCUAGGUCCUCUGUGUUUUCCGGCUUUAUUCUGGGGCACUUUGGGCCGCAAUGUGUUACAACAUAUGUUAGUUUUGUAUGGCAAACGCCUCUCAAUGCUGCAUUCAGUUUAAGAUCAAUAUUGCAGCUUGACAGGUGGCAGUUCCUCAUUAAAAUGUGCGGUUUUCUUGUUGCUUGUUUUUCUAGGUGAAGCUUGUGAGAAAUUUAGGCGGGCUUCUCUUUGAUCCGUAUACCCAAAAAAAGGAAAAAUAAGAAAAAAAAAAUAAGGAAAAAAAAUAGGGCAAGAAUGAUUGUGCAGAGCUGCUGUUACCUUGGUGAAGCUUUUUCUGUUUCUGAAUAAUCUUUAGUAUAAAUGGUGCAUAUUGUUUUCUUAUUCAUUUUAGCCUACUUUUGCUGGUUUUGAAAUUGAAAGAACUUUUUCUAUUUGGGUUGGUGACUGAAAACUUCUAUGCUGGGGAUUAUAAGGAAUGGUGGUUAAGAGUGUUCAUGUGAUGAGGGAACUUUUAUAAUUUGUUUUGCUGUGAUGAGUGAGUUGAUGUUUUCAUAUGAAAGACUUGUGUUUUUUUUUAUGCAAAUGCAAAGGUUUGGCUAUCAUGAUUGUGGUUGCUCAAAAUAUAUGGAGUAGUACUCUUUAUGAAUUUAAUGAAACUCUCAUUAUUUA